AUAUCUUUCUCGACCUCUUGUCUAAGAUCAAGUGUAGUAUCUGUUCUUAUCAAUUUAAUAUCUGAUACAUGGAUCUACGGAUUCAUGAGAUGUUAAGUUAAUUUUUUUGUGGAGAGGGCUCGUUAUAGUGGCUUGCUACCGAGCCCUGAGUGUCACAUGGGUGUUGCACUAUAGCCCUUGAUUGGCGCACCCCAA
rfam:Triticum urartu cultivar G1812 contig737049, whole genome shotgun sequence.